AUAGAAAAAAAACACCAUAUUAGACCAAAAAAAAAAGGGUUUUUUAAAGCACAAAUUGUAUGCAAAAUUUGAUUCACUUUUAAAAUACUGAUAGCUCCAAACACAUGAGAUGCUCUUUGAAAAUGCCACAGAUAAUCAAUAAAGGCAGUGGUCAUCAACUGUUCAUCUCAAAUUCCUUGCCUUCUCCAGGGAAUGACUUCCUGAAUCUUAGUCUUAUCACAUUCUAAAUUUCCCCAUCUCCCUUUAAAAAAACUCAUUAUAAAACAACCCUCUUACCCCCUCAUCUACACCAUCCAGAAGGGAAAGCAAACUGUGUGAAAGCAUUAAAAAAAAAGCAACAUAAAUUCCGCACCACUGCCCAUAAUUACUGUACCACACCUUCCAAACAAGUACAGCUUAACCACAAUGCAGUCAUUUCCUUUUCCCAUGUGCAUGGCAAAGCAGUACUGCAUGCACAAAAGAUGGAAGGGCGAUGCUAAGAACAGAAGGAUGUUGCUCAAAAAGCAAAAAUUGCCAUACAAAACAGCAAGAUGGACUUUGCAUGUUAUUUUUUAAAGGCCUGCAAGAAGAUCCAUACUACAGGAAGAUUACAUUUGAUAGUAAAUAGCAAAGAAGCAUCUCUAUGUUUCCCGUGCUGUAAGCAUCAGCUUAUCUUCAAAUGCAGGAAAAGUGGGAACAGGAAGAGAAAGGACAGCCAUUUCACUUUUGGCAUUCUUUUACAGGAGCUGUCGUAUCCACCUCAAACACUGAGUUGCUGGACCUACUUUAUUUUAACAUCCUCCACAAGGCUUGAAAGUAAAUUACCUCCUCAACAAUGUCUGCCUGGGACUCUUCAUUGCCACAGCUGCUGCUAGACUCAGAGUUUGAAAUACUGUCAGCUUCUUCAUCUUCUUCAUCCUCCAGAAUCUUCAGACCCUCUGAUUCAAUAAUGUCAAUGAAUUCAUUCUUUUCUA